rnacentral:lncRNA from 12 species
AGCACCCAAUAGCAGCUGUAACCCAAGACCUACUCUGGAUUUCACCCUCCCAGAUCUCAGUGGGUUGCUGAUUGAACAAAUGGAACAGAAUAAGUGGAAAGGAGCAGCAUACUGUAGAAUAAAAAGAAAUACGUAGAGAAAGAGAAAAUUGCAGAAGCAACCUGUUGCAGAACAACAGUUUUCACCAUCUUUUUAUCAAUUCUCAAACUGAAGCAAAACACAUGAAGUAGGAAAGAGCAGAGAGGUCCUUUGUGGGAGAUGCUACUGAACUUACUCAAGGGCAGCCUUUCAAAUACAGUCCUCUUAACAUCCUGAGCUUUAGAAGGUAAACAUUUGGGUUUACAGAUCUACAAAC